GACGAACGCUGGCGGCGUGCUUAACACAUGCAAGUCGAACGGAAAGGCCCUGCUUUUGUGGGGUGCUCGAGUGGCGAACGGGUGAGUAACACGUGAGUAACCUGCCCUUGACUUUGGGAUAACUUCAGGAAACUGGGGCUAAUACCGGAUAGGAGCUCCUGCUGCAUGGUGGGGGUUGGAAAGUUUCGGCGGUUGGGGAUGGACUCGCGGCUUAUCAGCUUGUUGGUGGGGUAGUGGCAUACCAAGGCUUUGACGGGUAGCCGGCCUGAGAGGGUAACCGGCCACAUUGGGACUGAGAUACGGCCCAGACUCCUACGGGAGGCAGCAGUGGGGAAUAUUGCACAAUGGGCGGAAGCCUGAUGCAGCAACGCCGCGUGCGGGAUGACGGCCUUCGGGUGGUAAACCGCUUUCGCCUGUGACGAAGCGUGAGUGACGGUAAUGGGUAAAGAAGCACCGGCUAACUACGUG
rnacentral:rRNA from 1 species